rnacentral:ncRNA from 1 species
AUAACAAGUUACCAGUGACAAAUUCCCAGGUUGGGAAAAGCUUUAAAAAGCUAACUGAUUAACUGACC